GAGUAGAUUGGUACCCUCGAAAAGCAUUGUCACCUUGGCUUUGCCGCCGUUGACAAUGUUUUCUCGGGGUAAUAAUCUGCUCUAUCACCCUCU
rnacentral:sRNA from 1 species